UUGGUUAAGUCUGCUUUCCUUCCCGAAUCACGAUCCUUACGCCUCUUCCUACGACUGCCGCCGCCGCCAGAAUCAUCGGAAUCCGAAUCGCUCUCAGCGAAGAUUCCAUAAGUAGCGUCGUUUUUGGUUUGUUUCCGUUUCUCCUUCCUCUUCUGGUAUACGAACUCGUCACCUUCCCAUCGACCUCCUUCGUAGUCAUUAUCCAUACUGAAUCUCUCCAUAUCUUGAUACUCAUCCAUGGCGAAGAAACUAGAUCUGAAACUCUGCGAAUUUUCCAAACUAUCGGAGGUUUUUGGAUUUACGACUGCAAAUCGCCGACGUCGCCGUGUAUAAUCGGAGGGAAAGGAUUAACCGACUUGGGCUUUAUAAAUAAUAAAGGCCCAUUUAUUUUUG